UUACUAAGUGAUCACUUUCAAAUUCAGAGAAACCCUGGAAUUAACAAAAAUGGGCAAUCCUGAGCCAAAUCCUGUUUUCCGAAAACCAACAAAGAUUCAGAAAAAAAGGAUAGGUGCAGAGACUCAAUGGAAGCUAUUCUAACAAAUGGAGUUAAAUGCGUUGGUAGAGGAAUCUUUACAUCGAAACUUCAGAAAGAAAAAGAAUGAAGUGAAGGAUAAACGUAUAUACAUACGUAUUGAAUACUAUAUCAAAUGAUUAAUGAUGACCUGAAUCCGUAUUUUUUCUAUAAAAAAUAGAAGAAUUGGUGUGAAUCGAUUCUACAUUGAAGAAAGAAUCGAAUAUUCAUUGAUCAAAUCAUUCACUCCAUAGUCUGAUAGAUCUUUUGAAGAACUGAUUAAUCGGACGAGAAUAAAGAUAGAGUCCCGUUCUACAUGUCAAUACCGGCAACAAUGAAAUUUAUAGUAAGAGGAAAAUCCGUCGACUUUCAAAAUCGUGAGGGUUCAAGUCCCUCUAUCCCCAAAAAGACUAUUUCACUCCCCAACUAUUUAUCCGACCCCCU
rnacentral:precursor_RNA from 1 species